UAUUUUAACAAGAACCACCAAUGUACGUUUAUCUUAGUCACUGAAUCAUUACCCAAUUCAAUCAAUACUGAAGACUUUUGAACCAAAAAACACAAAAAGGUCAAAUCUUUUCCUUAAAAAUUGAACAAAGGUCACGUCUUUAACCCAUACCUAAGCAAGAACAGUAGAAAACCUAGAAAAAUCC
rnacentral:sRNA from 1 species